GGGAGGUGAGGGAGCCGAUAUGUAAAGUUUGAAGAUUAAUCGCUGUGGUCGGCAAUCUCAUAAUAAAGAUUUCAAUGUGUUAUCAUACUAUCGUCUUGAAGAAUACUUAAGUUUUUAAAGAUAGCAAAUAAAAGCUUAGUAUUCUUAACGGCGGAGAAAAUCAAGGAGAAGCAGGACUGGGCCAAUUAGCGGAGACCUGUGACGUAAUGUGUGCCGACGUCCAAUAGAAGAGAAGAGCCGCUCCUCGGUUCUCUCGUGUAACUGUUUCUAUGUGAGUGUAUGUGUGCUUGAUGUUUAUCGGCUUUCAUCCGGAUAUAGGGAUGUCAUCAGCAGUCAGGAUUUUUAUGGGAAGGAAGCCUCGCAGUCGGGUCUAUUUGGUGCGUGGAUUAAAAGAUGCCCCUAACAAACGUGAAGAAGGAGAGAGGUCAGCGUGAAAAUGAUUCCUAAUACUACCUGUGCUGGACUGAUAGGUAAAAAGACCAAAGAUACAAGGGAACGUUUGUCUUAAAGGG